UACGUAGGGUGCAAGCGUUAUCCGGAAUUAUUGGGCGUAAAGAGCUCGUAGGCGGUCAGUCGCGUCUGCUGUGAAAACUCGGGGCUUAACUCCGGGCCUGCAGUGGGUACGGGCUGACUAGAGUGCGGUAGGGGAGACUGGAAUUCCUGGUGUAGCGGUGAAAUGCGCAGAUAUCAGGAAGAACACCCGUGGCGAAAGCGGCUCUCUGGAACGGUACUGACGCUGAGACGCGAAAGCGUGGGGAGCGAACAGG
rnacentral:rRNA from 1 species